rnacentral:tRNA from 1 species
GGGCGAAUGGUUUAGUGGUAUAAUACUCCCUUAGCAUGGGAGUGGUCCAGGGUUCGAUUUCCUGUUCGUCCA